rnacentral:rRNA from 1 species
CUACGGGGGGCUGCAGUCGAGAAUCUUCGGCAAUGGACGAAAGUCUGACCGAGCGACGCCGCGUGCGGGAUGAAGGCCUUCGGGUUGUAAACCGCUGUCAGUUGGGAGGAAAUCACAUGGGGUUCUCUCCAUGUGUUGACCUAUCUUCAGAGGAAGGACGGGCUAAGUUCGUGCCAGCAGCCGCGGUAAGACGAACCGUCCAAACGUUAUUCGGAAUCACUGGGCUUAAAGGGUGCGGAGGCGGCCUUGUAAGUUGGGUGUGAAAUCCCUCGGCUCAACCGAGGAAUUGCGCCCAAUACUGCAGGGCUAGAGGGAGACAGAGGUGAGCGGAACUUGUGGUGGAGCGGUGAAAUGCGUUGAUAUCACAAGGAACACCUGUGGCGAAAGCGGCUCACUGGGUCUCUUCUGACGCUGAGGCACGAAAGCUGGGGGAGCGAACGGGAUUAGAUACCCGAGUAGUC